UUGAAUUUUUUUAUUGUGAUUAAAAAAGUUUUUGGCUAAAUUAUUUUUUUAGAUUCUUUUUUAAAGAAGAAAAANUAUAAACUCAAAUUGGUCUUUUACAAANUUNAAAAUUUAUAAUAUUUCAAUUUUUAAUUUUUAGUUUUAAAUAAAAAUUACAAAUAUGAAAAAUAAAAAAAUUUUGUUAUAAAUUAAAUUAAUUUAUUUAUAUUAAAAAUAUUUUUUAUAAUUUUUAUUUUUUUAUUUUUUUAAAAAAAAAAUAAUUUAAUUAUAAUUAUUUAUUUAAAUUUAAUAAUUAAAUAUAAAAUUUUUUAUUAAAUAAAUUUAAUAAUAAAUGUUUUUUAAAUUCUUUGAGGUUUUGAUUUUUGAUUUUUUGUUUCUGCUCAUUGUUAAAGAAAAGCACUUUUAGCGUGAUUGGUCAAAGGUAGCGAGGUAAUUUGUUUUUUUAUUGGAUUCUAGUAUGAAAUGAUUUAUUGUGAUUAAAUAUAUUGAUUUUAAAAAGAAUUUUAAAUUUAUUUAAAAAAUAAUAAAUAAAAUAAAACUAAGAAAAGUCUUUUAGAA
rnacentral:rRNA from 1 species